ACCUUGCUGACGAGUGCCAAGUAGAACGAAACCUGGGUCCAGGGU
rfam:Schistosoma mattheei strain Denwood, Zambia genome assembly, scaffold: SMTD_scaffold0017471